CACUAUAUCUGAACUGAUCAAUAUGUUGGUCACUACGGAGGAAAUCUUGAAGAGUUUAAGGAGUACUGUUCUCACUGUGGAGCGGACUUCUUCCAAGAGAAAGUCUAUCGAGAAGAAGAAGAUUAAAUCCAUUAAGAAGUAGAAAAAGAGAAUAGGCCAAAGAAGGAAGUUCCUAAGAAGGCUGAAGUAAAGAAAAAUAUUUUCACUGUCAUGCUAAGGCCACUGAAGGAGAAACUGUCCAAAAUCCCUGAAGAGCCUAA
rnacentral:lncRNA from 1 species